rnacentral:lncRNA from 1 species
CCUCGUAACAUCCCUACUUCACAUCUUCCGGGACGUCGCUCCAUCUUUGAUAGAUCCUAGCGCGUACCCUUACGAUGGCGUUGCAUGCGUUCGAGAAUCUUUCUGCAGCCUCCACCGGUUCCUCCGGGUAGCUUUCUUUAUUUAGCUUGGUGACGACUCACGACUCCGUCGGCACCUUGUUCGCACCCCCCGCUUGGACUUCGACUAAGUAGCCGACUCCGUAGCCUGAGACAUCGCACCCUCGGCUUCUUCCUCGUUACCUGCUCCUUCAAGGAGCUGCUGCUCCUCGGCUCCUUCAAGGAAUAGUUGCUCCUCGGCUCCUUCUUCGCCGUGCUCAAAGCCAUCGCUCAUGGCAAUUUCCGAGUCCGAGGAAGAUGCCCCCGCUCCUUCUUCGACUUCUCCCUCCAAAACCGGCGGCUGCUCAGGCGCCUCUUCAACGCAAGCCUGAGGUUCCUAUCCAACACUUAAAAAAGUAAUUUUAAAAAAAUGGAAAAAUUCGACAUGACCUAUGCUGUAAAAUAGGAAAAAUUCGGCAUGACCAUUGCUGUAAAACAACAAAUGAGUCUACCCGAAAUUUAUACCUGCAUAAAAAAAAACUCCCACCCACAUAUACCCCCUCGGCACGAUGGCCGGACCCUUCUCAAUGACCCGGCACGAUGGCCGGGCCCACAUUCCUCAUAUCAACCGACACGAUGGUCGGGAUCACAUGCACCAACAACAACAUAUUUAUCAAAUAAGCAUCAAAUUAGCUUAAGCACCAGCAAGUUAACCUAACUAGCAGCAACAUAUACUAAUAAGUGAACAAAAAUAACCACUUAUAAGUUAUAUAACAAAAAAUUAAUUAAUUAACUAAACGAACAUCAAAUUAACCCUAAACAGCAAAUUAACCCUAAGAUUCAAAUUAACAGCCACCCUAAACAGCAAAUGAACCCUAAGAUUCAAAUUAAACAUGAGAUUCAAACCCUAAGAUAAAAAAAAAACUUACCUCGGCAGUGGCAAUGGCGGCAGCGGCGUCAUCGACGGCCGGGGUCGGGGC